rnacentral:rRNA from 1 species
AGUGAACGCUGGCGGUAGGCCUAACACAUGCCAGUCGAACGGCAGCACAGUAAGAGCUUGCUCUUACGGGUGGCGAGUGGCGGACGGGUGAGGAAUACAUCGGAAUCUACUUUUUCGUGGGGGAUAACGUAGGGAAACUUACGCUAAUACCGCAUACGACCUACGGGUGAAAGCAGGGGAUCUUCGGACCUUGUGCGAUUGAAUGAGCCGAUGUCGGAUUAGCUAGUUGGCGAGGUAAAGGCCCACCAAGGCGACGAUCCGUAGCUGGUCUGAGAGGAUGAUCAGCCACACUGGAACUGAGACACGGUCCAGACUCCUACGGGAGGCAGCAGUAGGGAAUAUUGGACAAUGGGCGAAAGCCUGAUCCAGCAAUACCGCGUGAGUGAAGAAGGCCUUCGGGUUGUAAAGCCCUGUUGUUGGGAAAGAAAAGCAGCAGGUUAAUACCCCGCUGUUCUGACGGUACCCAAAGAAUAAGCACCGGCUAACUUCGUG